rnacentral:misc_RNA from 1 species
UUUCCGUAGGUGAACCUGCGGAAGGAUCAUUAUUGUAUAACCGAGGUGCGAGGGCUGUCGCUGACCCGAAAGGUCGUGCACGCCCGUGUGCCCUCACACACAUCCAUCUCACCCCUAUGUGCACCACCGCGUGGGACCCCCUUUGGCUUGUUCGGAGGGGGGCUUACGUUUUCACACAAACUUUGUAUGCAGUGUAGAAUGUAUUUUUUGUUUUUGCGAUCACGCAAUCAAUACAACUUUCAACAACGGAUCUCUUGGCUCUC